CUUCCUAUAAUCCAUGCAUACUCUCCACCCAUUCUGAACUCUAGUGGGGACAAGUUCCCCUUCAGCAUUUGGAACAAUGGUAAUCCCAGUUUUCUUUGGGACUACAUGCACAGGACUCACCCAUUUGCUAUCAGAGAUUGGGUAGAUGAUACCUGCAUCAAGGAGCUUAACUAUUUCUUUCUUUACUACCUCCAUCAUAG
rnacentral:lncRNA from 1 species